CGACCGGCAAACGGGUGCGGAACACGUACACAACCUUCCUCCAAAUGGGGAAUAGCCCAGGGAAACUUGGAUUAAUACCCCGUAACAUUAUGAAGUGGCAUCACUUUAUAAUUAUAGCUCCGGCGUUUGGAGAUGGGUGUGCGGCUGAUUAGGUAGUUGGCGGGGUAACGGCCCACCAAGCCUUCGAUCAGUAACUGGUGUGAGAGCACGACCAGUCACACGGGCACUGAGACACGGGCCCG
rnacentral:rRNA from 1 species